rnacentral:rRNA from 1 species
UACAGAGGGGGCAAGCGUUGUUCGGAAUUACUGGGCGUAAAGGGCGCGUAGGCGGCCCGCUAAGUCGAACGUGAAAUCCCCGAGCUCAACUCGGGAACUGCGUCCGAUACUGGCGGGCUUGAAUCCGGGAGAGGGAUGCGGAAUUCCAGGUGUAGCGGUGAAAUGCGUAGAUAUCUGGAGGAACACCGGUGGCGAAGGCGGUUCUCUGGGCAUUACCUGACGCUGAGGAGCGAAAGUGUGGGGAGCGAACAGG